GUUCAUUUCAGUAGUACACACAUUAAAACUGAAACAAUACAGAGAAGAUUAAUCUUGUCUCCUCUUCAAAAAUGCCUUUCAAAUCUGUGAAUAUUUCUACAUAAUU